GUCCCUUUCUUUCUUCUCUUUUCUUUUUCUUUUGUUGCUGCACUUCACCAUUCUUCCUUCCUUCCAUGAGUACUCACACACCAUCAUUAUUAUUCCUCAUCCUCUCAUCACCGUGAAUACACACACACACAAACCUCAAAUAAUUAAUUGAUCUCCUUUCUCUAUUCCCUGUGAGCUGGCCGUGAGCAAGGAGAAAGUGGGGAUUUUUGCACCGUUUCGUCGAUUCUUGUCCGAUUGUUCCGAUUUCAGUUUACAUGGAUCGACAGCAAGAUCUACCUUCUACUACUACCCAACAAGCUAAAUCUCUUGCUGAUGCGCGCCGAUUUCGACCGAGUCGCCGUGGAUCUGAAAAACGGUUCUUUGUGGAAACUUUGGGGUUGACAGAGCAAAUUUGUGAGUGUGACCUGCACCGCGAGACUGGAACAACUCGAGCUGUUUCGAGAUGAUUCAUCACUCGGGGAGGACCAGGAGCGUAACGACUACUACUAAACCAUUCAGCGAGGACCCGGACGGAAUGCAUGAUCCGAUGAGGGUCGAUGGUAGGAGUGUAGGUAUGAGUGUAUAGAGUCUUUCAAGGUUAGGUGUUAUUGUUAUAGCUCUGACUAGUCGAAUCUAUAUUUGGGGCAGGGUAGGUCCCCGACACAUUACUUUUUGUGUGGUUCUCUGUCAUGGGGAUCACAGAGAGUAGUCGGACAUUAGGAGGUCUGAAGGAGGCCGUUUUGGGCUGACUCUCUCAUGUUUUGGAGGACUGUACUUAUAACUUCUCACUUGAUUUCUGGAUUUGAACUUAUUCUGCCUUCGGGCUCCCUUUCUGUCACUUGCUGAUACUCGUGACACUUUGGGGUUACCGCAGGGCUGUAAUAGUAUUGUAAAUUAGUUUAUGUUUAUCGCGUCUUGGGUUGUGUCUCUA